GUGUUCGGGGGCGAUGCGGUCUAAGUCCUUGGAACAGGGCGUCAUAGAGGGUGAGAAUCCCGUCUGCGAUUCGGCGGUCACCCCGGGAGAAGCCCCUUCGACGAGUCGAGUUGUUUGGGAAUGCAGCUCCAAAUGGGUGGUAAAUUUCAUCUAAAGCUAAAUACCGGCCAGAGACCGAUAGCGCACAAGUAGAGUGAUCGAAAGAUGAAAAGCACUUUGGAAAGAGAGUUAAACAGUACGUGAAAUUGUUAAAAGGGAAGCGCUUGCGACCAGACCUGCACCCGGGUGAUCAUCCGUUACUCGUAGCGGUGCACUCGCCCGGCCGCAGGCCAGUAUCGGUUCAGACGGCGGGACAAAGGGCCCGGGAAUGUAGCUUCCUCCGGGGAGUCUUAUAGCCCGAGCUGCCAUGCCGCCGCUGGACCGAGGACGCGCUUCGGCGAGAUUGCUGGCGUAAUGGUCGCAAGCGACCCGUCUUGAAACACGGACCAAGGAGUCUACCAUCCAUGCGAGUGUUUGGUUGUCAAACCCGGGCGCGGAAUGAAAGUAAACGGAGUGAGAACCCCGGGAACGGGCGCAUCAUCGACCGAUCCAGAUGUUUUCGGAUGGAUUUGAGUAUGAGCAUGGCUGGUGGACCCGAAAGAUGGUGAACUAUGCCUGAAUAGGGUGAAGCCAGAGGAAACUCUGGUGGAGGCUCGCAGCGGUUCUGACGUGCAAAUCGAUCGUCGAAUUUGGGUAUAGGGGCGAAA
rnacentral:rRNA from 1 species